UGCGAAGCGUGCACACUAGGCCAUGGAU
rnacentral:piRNA from 1 species